AACAGAGGGUGCAAACGUUGUUCGGAAUUACUGGGCGUAAAGAGCGUGUAGGCGGCCCGGUAAGUCCGCUGUGAAAGUCGGGGGCUCAACCCUCGAAUGCCGGUGGAUACUGUCGGGCUAGAGUGCGGAAGAGGCGAGUGGAAUUCCUGGUGUAGCGGUGAAAUGCGCAGAUAUCAGGAGGAACACCAAUUGCGAAGGCAGCUCGCUGGGACGUUACUGACGCUGAGACGCGAAAGCGUGGGGAGCAAACAGG
rnacentral:rRNA from 1 species